NNNNNNNNNNNNNNNNNNNNNNNNNNNNNNNNNNNNNNNNNNNNNNNNNNNNNNNUCGCGCUCUCGGCUGGGCCUUAAAAGAUUAAUAAACAAAUGUCUGGACUAUUUAUCCAUUAACAAACUUCAUUUAAAUUAUCUGAAAUCAAAAAUUCUAGUUUUCUCCAAGUCCCGCAAAAUAUACAAAUGGACCUUUAAUCGUCAUUCAAUUGAACAGGUGAGGACCUUCAAAUAUCUGGGAUUACUAUUCUCAGCUGACUGUUCCUGGGUGGGCCACCGUAAUAUGGCACAUGCAACUGCCAAAACAUCUUCUACGGCUAUCUCCAGAUUCUUCUAUAACAAAGGGGGCCGCCUAAUCCCGGCAGCCCUCAAAAUAUUCAAUGCCAAAUCCAUUUCUCAAGCUUUGUACGGCAUCCCUAUUUGGAUCAACGCCUAUCACAAAUCAUUAGAAAAUUUUCAAUCAGUUUUCUUGAGAAGAAUCAUGGCCAUGCCAAACUGCGUGCCGUAUGAGGCGUUAUGCCUCGAAACGGGACAACUCCCAGUAAAGGACGUUGCUUGGCACAGAACUUGCAAAUAUUGGCUAAGAAUAUACUUUGACCCCUCCCAAACAACCCUACUCUAUCAUCUAAAAAAAGAUAGUUGCCCUCCUGCUGAUGGCUGGCUAAGGAAGAUUGAACAGAUUGGUCUAGAUCCGGAGUCCUUGGGUUCUCUCACGUUCCAGGCCGCCUUAAAAACCGUCAAACAAAGACUGGCCGACAUUGAUUCGCAAAACUUAUUAAGUGCCGCAAACAGAUCUUGCUCACCUCUGUUCUGGAAACUUCCCCUGGUAGUAGGCAGCCCACCGGCCUACAUUUCCAUACUGCAUAAUCCCGAAAUCAGAAGGGCAAUUUCGUUAGCCCGCUGUAAUUCAAUUCCCUCGGCGGUGCUAACAGGCCGAUUUAAUAAUAUCCCCUUCAAUAACAGAUUAUGCCCCUGCAUGAUGAAUGUUGUAGAGACGUUACCCCACAUCUUAUUUCAUUGCCCACUUCAUUUGACCGCGAGGGACAAAUUCCUCGCCUCCUUUCCACAACGAAAGCCCUGGCUUACUGACGAAGCAUAUUUUAGUCUUAUUUUACAGCGGUCCGACGAGCACUUUUUGACUAUCCUCGGCAAAUUUUUGCUAGACAUAAUCCAAACUAAUACAGAACGAGAACCCAAUCCUAAGUUUUAGUGUUUUAGGGGCUGUCCCCACAAGUUGUACUUUGUACCCUUUGUAUGUCUGUAUGCGCUUUUUAUGCCAAUAAAGGUAAAGUAAGUAA
rnacentral:lncRNA from 1 species